UACGUAGGUGGCAAGCGUUGUCCGGAUUUAUUGGGUUUAAAGGGUGCGUAGGCAGCUUUGUAAGUCAGUGGUGAAAUACUCUAGCUUAACUAGAGGGGUGCCAUUGAUACUGCAGAGCUUGAGUACAGAUGAGGUAGGCGGAAUUGACGGUGUAGCGGUGAAAUGCGUAGAGAUCGGGAAGAACAUCGGUGGCGAAAGCGCUCUACUGGACCGCAACUGACACUCAGGGACGAAAGCUAGGGGAGCGAAUGGG
rnacentral:rRNA from 1 species